rnacentral:miRNA from 1 species
UAUUAGGUUGGUGCAAAAAGUAAUUGUGGUUUUUAAAACUGCAAAAACUGCAAUUGCUUUUGCAUCAAUCUAA